AGAAGUGAUGCAUUGCAAUAAAUGGCAUGGCAUUUUGCAGCCAAGUUUCACAAUGACGUCAGGAAAUCACUCUUGAUGGGUUAAGAAAAGGUUUGGAUCACUCAUCUCUGUGCCAGAAACUUUCCUCUUUUCAUUCUCUGUAGACCUUUGCAAUUUCUCCAGCAUUGUGAGCUUGUGAGAGGGGACAGUAGGUUUAUCCUUUCAGCCAAUGCCCUGAGUUAGCUUUUUGACUUUAACCUCACAGGAGGAAAUAAAUAAAUCAACUAAAGUAGACAAAUAAUGUAGCAUGAAGAACAAAAAAGCAUCCAAACAAACAAAACUCCUUGUUUUGUUGUUAGCAGUGUGAUUUAAUACUUCGAUACCCAACGCAAAACCGGAAAGAACUACACAGACUGAAACUACACAUCCUGUUGAUCUACACUUUCCAAACCCAGCACAGUUGCUCCUUUCCCCUGAACUGCAUUGCUUUAUUUCUGUCAGCCUUUUCAUUCUCACGAGCUGCUGCAGCUUUCUGAGAAGAAAACUGCAGGAAGUGAAGGCAGUGUGGUAUUUUCUGAAAAUGAAGGUCUGCCCCAUUCAGAAGCCAAUUUAAGUUCAACAAGAGCAGAUCUUUGCAAAUAUUCAGCCCUGACUUUCUCUCUGAUCAGUUUCAACGUACUUAUGACAUCAAAAGGCUUCAACUGCAUUGGCUUCACCUUCGCAGUAAUUAGCUUGCCAUUAGGUUUGGCUUCAGUUAAUGAAUGGCUCUUUCUUUCUCCCUUUCCUUUUUACUCAUGGGAAAAAGCAUCAAUAUUCUUGCAUUCUACCACUGUUCUGUCCUUGCAUUCUACCACUGAGGGUAUUGAAACAUGAUUAUCAAUAGACUAUAUCUCUUUAGGAGAUCACUGUCAGUACCUACCCCAUCAUUGUUGGGCAUCUGACAUGUAUGGGACAGUUGUUAUCUGAAAUUUGUUCUCUGGGCUCUCUGCAGCAGCCGUGAGUUAAAACUAGCUGCAAUGCUUGUGUUUUUCUGUGAGAGCACACCACCUACCAUCAUACCUGUUCCUGACAGCCAAUACAUAGGCUUCAUUAAACAGGAGGUGCCUUUGGGAAAGGGAGAACAUUCCUCUGCUACAGAACCCUAACUUGUUUUAUGCCUGACUGGUCUGUAAUUUUGUAAGCAUAGCAAUCAAAUGCUUUUAUUGCCUACAGCCACUCAUUUCGCACUGUAGAUAAUUAGUAGUCUUGCUUAUUGUGUUUUGCUUCGUGGUCUGGCACUUUAUCAUCGCACAAAGCGCUGCUGCUUUUCAGAAAGUACCUUUUCAGAACUGUGGCAUUGAGCGAGGCUGAAGCAGCUGGGAAGGACAGUUAAACAGGAAACAUUUUGCAACAAUUUAAUAAGCUGAAUGAUUUUUGGCGUUCAGAAUAUUACUGUAUAAACCGUUUCCUGCACUUAUCUCAGGGUCAGUUACACAGCUGUAAGGUUCAUGCCGUGUCUGCUUCGCUCACGUUGGACAUUCAGACUGCAGUGCUUUCUUAAGCGCUGCAGCAGAAGCAGCGUGACCUCCUCUCACCUUGGUGAGAAGUCGAUUAAGCACUGCAUUCACACCAACCUGCAGAACUGGUAACUAUUUUCAGCCCUUGGCUUUAUUUUGCUCUCAGCCACUCUGAAAAAAAUAGUGGUGGCCCCGUAAGCAGCUUCCUGGUAGCUUUCCCACUUGGGAUGGAAGCUGAAAGCUCUACUGGCAAGAACACGGCAAAGGGACAGGAUCCGCGUCACCAAAAUACUCUCCAACUGAACUGCUGUACGCACUCAGCCGGCUCCUAUCAGAGGAAUUCGAUGCGUUCUGCCGGGCUCCACCGCCACCUCCUGGCCGUGGCCGCCAGGGCCGUGCGGGACAUUGCCGCGUUUUGUCUUUAAUAAAAGCAGUUUGGGGUUUCUUGUUUGUUUGUUUUUGUUGUUGUUGUUUUUUUUCCUUUUCCUACAGGGAGACUGUCGUUUUUAGCAGCAUACCCUAACGGCACUUCAGCACUUAGCAUGAACUGAAUAGCUUGUGAGAUCAGCGUCGUAAUUCCUUCUGUCCCAUGAGCUCAGCAUCUGUAUUGCAUAAUCAACAUGACAGUUAACUCACAGUUCAUUUUCCUAGCUCCAAGGAGCCUUUCAUCUUCCAGAAGCAUUGGCUGCUCGAAGCCCCUCUCCACAGAGCAUUAUCUCACCUUACCAGCCAAGCCAGCCAUUGGCUCUGCUGCUGCUAAACGCCCUCUCUGUGUGCAGGUUUCACAAAGGUCGUGUCCAAAAACAGCUCUUAAAAGUGCACCUCCACCUCCUGUGAGCUAAGUGGUAUCCCUGAAAUCACACAUGAAAGAAAGAUUUAUAGGCACUCACUAAAUGCUGUUAUGAAAAAUACAAUAUACAAGCGAAUCCCAUGUGGCACGAAUCCCUAAAAACCAAUUAUGUUCUAGUUGUAUCAGCUUAAACUGGUCACAAAGUGAAAGGGCAAUGGAACAAUAAUUUCCUCGUAGAGCAUAUGUGUUCCUGGGGAUAGUGUUAACCUGGAUUUUUGCACCCUCCUGUACAGCAGUGCCUAUUUAAAAUCAGUGCAGUAGAAAUGCUAAGUUGUGGCCUGAAGCAGUGACUGAGCACCUGGUGGGAAGGCAGGGCCAACCCAGGGGAGCUCAGGUACAGCUGAGUGACCAGAAAGGGUGCAGCCAGGAUCCACCCCUUCCCAGACCUCAUUUAAGGGCUGGCAGUGGAGGCAAAGGUAUUUUGUUGGAGAUCCUUGCUGAUCUGAGGCCUUCUAAGGGUAAGCAGCUUUCCCCCUUUGUUUCUGCAUCCAUGGCUGCUGCAUUUUGGAGUUGUCCUCAUUCGCUGCAGCCAAAGACUUUGCUACCCCACUAUUAUCGCUGUAAUUUCCAUCACAUCAUAGCAUUCCAAUCAGGUUAGAUUUCUUUACAAUUUUAACUUCGAAGGAAAAGUUGGUUACCGUAAUUAAGUUACUCAAAUACUUUGUCCUUAAGAUUGACCUGAAAGUACUUUAGAGCUGUGAUAAUGGAGAGAAGUCGGUAGACAGAAAGCAAUAAAUGCCUGUGCUUCAGGAAAAAGAAAACAAAGCAUCUGAGUCACCACCAACUAAAUUUGCUGUUGUCAAACUACAAGGAGGCCAAGGAGCUGGGAGUUCACAGCCCAGGAGAAGGGAAGAAUGGCAGGUUUGAGAUUUGGGACUUCACUUCUCAGCAUGAAGAAAGCAGCGAAACGACCA
ensembl:lncRNA